rnacentral:rRNA from 1 species
AGUGAACGCUGGCGGUGGGCCUAACGCAUGCAAGUCGAACGGCAGCACAGUAAGAGCUUGCUCUUACGGGUGGCGAGUGGCGGACGGGUGAGGAAUACAUCGGAAUCUACUUUUUCGUGGGGGAUAACGUAGGGAAACUUACGCUAAUACCGCAUACGACCUACGGGUGAAAGCAGGGGAUCUUCGGACCUUGCGCGAUUGAAUGAGCCGAUGUCGGAUUAGCUAGUUGGCGGGGUAAAGGCCCACCAAGGCGACGAUCCGUAGCUGGUCUGAGAGGAUGAUCAGCCACACUGGAACUGAGACACGGUCCAGACUCCUACGGGAGGCAGCAGUGGGGAAUAUUGGACAAUGGGCGCAAGCCUGAUCCAGCCAUACCGCGUGGGUGAAGAAGGCCUUCGGGUUGUAAAGCCCUUUUGUUGGGAAAGAAAAGCAGCAGGUUAAUACCCCGCUGUUCUGACGGUACCCAAAGAAUAAGCACCGGCUAACUUCGUG